GACGAACGCUGGCGGCGUGCUUAACACAUGCAAGUCGAACGGAAAGGCCCUGCUUUUGUGGGGUGCUCGAGUGGCGAACGGGUGAGUAACACGUGAGUAACCUGCCCUUGACUUUGGGAUAACUUCAGGAAACUGGGGCUAAUACCGGAUAGGAGCUCCUGCUGCAUGGUGGGGGUUGGAAAGUUUCGGCGGUUGGGGAUGGACUCGCGGCUUAUCAGCUUGUUGGUGGGGUAGUGGCUUACCAAGGCUUUGACGGGUAGCCGGCCUGAGAGGGUGACCGGCCACAUUGGGACUGAGAUACGGCCCAGACUCCUACGGGAGGCAGCAGUGGGGAAUAUUGCACAAUGGGCGGAAGCCUGAUGCAGCAACGCCGCGUGCGGGAUGACGGCCUUCGGGUUGUAACCGCUUUCGCCUGUGACGAAGCGUGAGUGACGGUAAUGGGUAAAGAAGCACCGGCUAACUACGU
rnacentral:rRNA from 1 species